rfam:Canis lupus familiaris chromosome 11, whole genome shotgun sequence.
GCCUGAGUAGCUCAGUGGUUGAGCAUCUGCCUUCAGCUCAGGGCAUGAUCCUGGAGUCCCAGGAUAGAGUCCUGCAUCAGGCU